GAGGGUAUAGUUCUGUGGUACAGCGUGUGCUUAGCAUGCACGAGGUCCUGGGUUCAAUCCCCAGUACCUCCA
rnacentral:tRNA from 1 species